AUUUUGCCUUUAUAUAUAAUAUUAUAUAUAGAAUGGAGGCUACACAAAAAAUUUCUGAAAGAUUCGGACGAGACUCAACAAAAGCUGGUGAAGGACUUUCUGCGCAUGGUCUACAAAAAUAAGGUCGAAAUUAAAAUGCUUUCAAUAUUUCCUGUAGGGAUGCCGAUGUUAACGUUUUUUCUAUCGCUGAGUGCUAGUUACGUUGUAGUGAUGGUGCAAUUUAGUAAUGUCUUUUGAUUUCACAAAUAAAUAUUUUCUUUAGAAUCAA